rnacentral:rRNA from 1 species
UACGGGGGGAGCAAGCGUUGUUCGGAUUUACUGGGCGUAAAGGGCGCGUAGGCGGUCAGCACAAGUCAGUUGUGAAAUCUCCGAGCUUAACUCGGAAAGGUCAACUGAUACUGUGCGACUAGAGUGCGGAAGGGGCAACUGGAAUUCUUGGUGUAGCGGUGAAAUGCGUAGAUAUCAAGAGGAACACCUGCGGCGAAGGCGGGUUGCUGGGCCGACACUGACGCUGAGGCGCGAAAGCGUGGGGAGCGAACAGG